rnacentral:rRNA from 1 species
UACGUAGGCAGCAAGCGUUGUUCGGAGUUACUGGGCGUAAAGAGUAUGUAGGCGGUGAACCAAGUCUGGUGUGAAAUCUCCCGGCUUAACUGGGAGGGUGCGCCGGAAACUGGUUUGCUUGGAGUGUCGGAGAGGAAAGCGGAAUUCCUGGUGUAGCGGUGAAAUGCGUAGAUAUCAGGAGGAACACCUGCGGUGUAGACGGCUUUCUGGACGAUAACUGACGCUGAGAUACGAAAGCGUGGGUAGCAAACAGG